UUUCUUUGACCUAAGAAUGCCAUUUCUUAGUUCAUCCCUAUUUCCGAAAGAAUCUUGCUUAGAUGGUAAAGUCUGACUCUUAUCUUUCCUUACCAAGAGGUGAUUCAAUCAAUGUACUUGCUUGUAGUUUCAAAGGUAUUGGCUUUGUGUAAAAGAGAUAAGAGAGCUCUUUCCUCUUUUUGAUAUAUUCUAUAAUUCUAUGAGAAAUGGAAUUCGGGAAGGUGCUAUACCUACCCUUACCUCUCUCUAGGUAAGCAAUAACAAUGACCUUCCUCCUAUUAAGUGUCCCUAAUCAAUUACCAGACUAAGACUUUGAUGUCUAGAUCACUACCCUCUCCAACACAGUCGAGCACUUAAUCCCUUGAUCCUAACCAAAGGAAUAGGGGAUAGAAAAGAGUUGCUUGAGAUUGACCAGCAUGCACUAGCUGAUAAUGCUAAGUUAUGGAGCACUUGUCUUCUAGCGGGAACCAGUAUAACAAGUAUUCCUCAAAAGGAUUAGGCUCCGGUGUGGAUGUCAUUCAGCUGCUUAUGGCUCGCUUUCUCUUUCCAUUCCAUUUCCACCUUGUUCACAGGCGAAUCAAGCUGCUAUCAAAGCUUGUCAAUCGAUUCUUUCAUAACCUUAACUCUCCAUUGCGAGUUCUUUGACUCUAUUCCAAAGAGUAGACUGGAAGACCAUGCUUGUGCGAGCGCCUUUUCCGAAGCCUCCAAUUCUUUUCAUUUUCUUCUGCAAUACGAGAUUUUCUCUUUUUUCGGUGGUGGAGCGAGGUAGACUCGGUCUUCGAAAAAGUCAUUUCAUAUAGAAAAGAGGGAUUGAGUCUGUCUUCUCUCCUAUAUUGAUAUUGGACAAGAGAGCUCCGGUGCUAUCUUUCAUGGACGAAUCCCCUGCUUGCUUGAUAAGAAAGAAGCCGCGCUAUUGAAUCAAUCAGCUGUGAACGAAUCGGAUGUAGCAAGAAUAAGUGCUUUGUUAUUGUUCUAUCUUUUUUCUUUCUUUUUCGCCCGGUUAGCCUUUCUUUGAAAGAAUACGGGGUUAGAGCCUAAUCAAAUAUGCCCAUUUUCCAAGAAGGAGCUGCACAUGAAGCAGAGAGUCCACUUGUGGGGGGAACAAUGAAAGCCUUAGGUAUCCUCGAUGAUGCUUUGUCACCCUCGAGAAUGCUUGUACAUGCCUAUGAUGAUUCCACUAGGAAAUGAAUCCGCAAAGGUAACGGUAACAAAUAAGAAGAAGACACGAAUUGAUGUUAUGGCACAGGGAACCCAGUCCUGCUUACGCGAUGGUGUGCUUGGACAGAGGGCUAACUGGAAUCUUCUUCGACCAGAAACCUUGGAUCUACUUGCUUGAACAGAGUACUCUCCGCCUCUGUUUAUCUGUUUACGAAUGGCCCCACAGGCCUAAGCGAUGAUGGCUCCAGGCCUAAGCGAUGAUGGCUCCGGCGUUCUUGGUCAAUGAUGUCGUUCACUUCUGACCUUCCCAUUUGGACUGUCAAAGGAGGCCGUCAAAGGUCAUUUGGGGGUGGGUUUACGAGAGGGCCUUUUCCCUUACUUCUCUUUCCUUCGCUUGGUAGACGAGUCAACGAUAGAGCGAAAGAAAUGCCCAUGGAGUACGACUCGCUAGAGCUCCUGCAGCCUCCGUGCCUAGAGAGCUGCCCCCCACUGAUCAAAGGAAUGAACGAUGGUGCGGAACCCUUUCUCGCUUUUCGGAAAUCAAUACGUGUACACCUUUGUCUUAAUACCGUCUAGCCGAUAUAAUUCCCCAAAUAGGCUUUCACUAAUGAAGUAGGCUUUCGACAAUGAGAGAUGGUAAGCCUUUCUUCCUUAGAUGCCUUGAAAGUGCCUAUUCUUUCUUUCCUUAGAUGCCUUGAAAGUGCCUAUUCUUUCGAGAAAUACUUUCUAGAGUUCUUCAGAUUCUCUCAUAAAAGAAAUAAAAGAUAGUGGGAGUUAAGAUUCGGGACUAUAUACUGGCUGCUAUCUCACUCUAUAAAGUCAAAUAAUAGAUGUGUAGAGCGCGGGCAUGCUUCGUCCUGUUCCUUUGCCCGCCGAGAGUUGUUAGUGGAACGCCCCUAAUUCCAUUCCCACUGAGGGGUUUGAAAGCUAUGGCGGGAAGUCUAUUUUCUCCCCAACUAAUUACCUUCACUCAGAAUUCUUUUGACUUGACAUUCGUUAUCCCCUCGACCCCUGUAUGUAGAGGCCUUUGAAGACCACUACUAAAUACAGAGGAUCUUGAUAGAAAGUGGUGCAGGAUUUCAUAUUUGUACAUUGAGUACAGCCAGGCAGUGGAAUUUGGAUCCUUCUUGCUCUGCUCCUCACUACAGCUGUUCGUGCAUAUGACGGGACCACUCGAACUGCGCAAGGUAGAGUUUAUUGUCAUCUCCAAGUGGGACCCCUUGUUCGGUCAACUCUAUUCCAUGUAGAGCAGAUAUCCUAUAAACAUAUCCAAUGUUGCUAGCACGACCUUGGAUCCACGCCAACUUGGUUGUAGCAUCCUCAUAUCAUAUCAGUAUCAAGUUUCCCAUGAACGCGUAAUGUCUCUACCUUGAUAGCUACCCCGUAAACCCAAGCUUCAUUCAAGUUCCGUCCCUUCUUAUCGAUCCUGUAUUGAUCUACCACCAUCCUUCUCUUUUUCAUGAUCUUUGGUGGCAGCCUCCGUUUCCGUGGCAACGGCGAAGAGCGGGAAUCACCUAAAAAGAAAGAGCUUCUUCCUUUGCUACAGAUGCCUAACUUAUUCCGUCUCAUCCUCAUACUUCGGUUCUAGAGAGCUGCCAAAAAUGGAUCUUUUGCUUCUCUUCUGACGGCCAACCACACGAUUCAAGCUAUGAGGAACUCGCCAAUGACUUGGAUUUCCACCCUUGCCCGGGAACAAAUGCUUCAAGGCUUUACUUCCUUGGUCCCGAUCGGCCGUUCCGAGUAGCAGGAGAUUACCUAACUACAGGACCCGAGUGAUCUUCUGCCCAUACUUUCUUUCCUUAAUGACCUUCCAGUGGCUAGGCACCAGCCAAGCAAUGCCUUGUGCGUUCCCCAGCCAUUAGCGGUUGUAAGAGCAGAAGUAGUUUCAAGAGAAGAAUCUGCUUUAGUUUACUCGGCGCUAACAGAGCCUAAAACAGGACGGACUUGCACCAACACAAGGAAUUGCCGGUUGGCUUUCCCCUACUAGCUUUGUUCUUAGCUUUCCAGAGUGGACCUCUGCUCUUUCACUUAUUCACACACAACACUUCUUGUCCCUAGGAAGGAAGAUCAUCCAGCUCUUUUCAAAUGUCAUCGUGUAUAUAUGAGCUUAUCUCUUUUCUCUUGCUCAUCUAAACAAACAGCCCACGUAACGCUUAAGUCUCAAGUGAGCGGACCUACUUAACGCUUUGCCAGGAUAAUCAAAUAUAGAAUAAGAAGAAGCUCAAGCAUAAGCAGAAACAGCAGAUAGAUCCGGAUCCGAAUAAGACAAGCAACAUCAGUUUACUAAGAAUCAUAUGUUGGAUCAGCAGCAAGAGAAGGAAAGUAGAGUCGACAAGAUAGGAUAGGCCAAAUCAAAGGGAAUAGAGUGAGUGUCUGUACUUCAAUCUAUACUUUGUGUGACUUAUCUCAAUUCCAUUCUAACUUCAAGUCCUGAGCGUUGUUGUUAUUGAAUUCUAUCAUGUGCUGUAGGAAAGAAAAGUGUUUCAAAGGUGAAAUGGCUGGAUCAGUUGCCCCCGCCUUUGGUCUAGCCGGAUCUGCUCCAGGGAAAGCUUCCGCAUCCUUACCCCUAUAAGCUUGAACUUCACAUUCAUUCCAUACCCGACAGAGAAAUGACAGUGGGAAAAACAGAAAGAAAUCAAUCCAGAAAUCAAGAAAACUGUAGAUGUAGAAAACUGUAGAUGUAGGGUCCCGAUGUUGCUUAUAGUACUUUACUAUAGUGGAGUAUGCUUAUUUGCGCUGUUCUCUUGCUUGUUUCAUAGAGUGCACCCCAUAUAGAGUCACUUAGUAACAAAACCCCGAAAACGGACUCAUUCUAGUCAAGAACACAAGUCCAACUAGUUUGCUGGGUGAAUUGAGGCAUCUCGAGUGGGUAGUUCACUGUGCUUGUUUGCGCUUACUGAGUUUAUAGAUCCCCAGAGGACUCUACAGAUUGACUUAGCGCUUCAACGCCCUCUUCUUUAUACGACGGAGCUCAUCUUUCUUUCCCGCUUCUUUGAUACAACAACGAUUAACUGUUUCAUCUCGGCAAAGCUUAUUCUCUGGUCGACCACUACUCUACUCAAUCAAGCACUCUAACGGAACUACAUUCAAAGCUAAGCAAAGGCGAGUCCGCCAAUCAAUCAAUCCGACCUUUUGCGCUUGAUACUAUUCUUUUACGGGACCUAAUCACUAUCGUUGGUGAGUUCCUAAGCCAUCUCAUUUAUCUGAAGUGAAGCAAGCCACCUUUUCAUCUUCAUCGAGUGCCCGGACCACAAGCUCCAUAUUCCAACACCUAUAUUGGAACUACAUCUCUUUCUCCUGUUCAACUUCAAGCAGAGCGGCUAAGAAGCUUCAAAGUCCGAUACGGAAGGCAGCUAGUCAAGUAAGAAAUAUGAUUAUAUGAACUGAGCUGAUAGUCAAGUAAGAAAUCAGAUUAUAUGAACGAACGACUCUAUUACUAAGAAAUAGGAAAUAGAAGUAACACACAUAAGAUAUAAGAAAAGUCAAGUAACCGAACUCAAUAAGUCAUAAGUGCAAUAGAAGUAAUAAGUGCACAAUAUGAUAGAAAUUGAGUCAAGCUCACUCCUUACUCCUUACUCUCCUCUUUAGUUAACAUUCUAUAAUAAGGUGAACCACCCCCUUAUUUCACUCGAACGUGUUCAUUCAUAUAAGUGCAAGAUGAGAGAAUUCCUUUUAGUAAAGUUAAUACACCGAUAUUAGAUCUUCCCUAUUGUGUACUUCGUGAAUUUGCCAAUGUUGAGUUUAGCGCUUUAACCAUUCAGCCAUGGAUAAGGAAUGGAAGAAAAGCUAGCAGCGGGAGAAAGCUUUAAGGUGCUUCAGAGAUAGGGCGGUUAUAGUAAGCUGGCGAGUUAUUGUGUUGUCCUAUCUUAUCUAUAAGCUCAUCUCUUUUCGAAUGCCCCCUGAUACAUAAAUUGUUGUAUUACUUGAGUGAAUUCUUAUUGCUUGAGAUUUACCUGCAGGGCACUAUCCGUCUCAGUUAUGGAGCACUUUAGUCUUCUCGCGGGAGAACGAAGCUCAAAAGAAUUAGGCAGAGGUGUGGAUGGAUCAGGCAAUAUAUUGGCCUAAGGGGUAAGGAUCUGAUUCCAGCACUAGUAGGAUCUUUCUCAUUUAGUUAACCCAGGCGACAGACGUAGACCUUCUUUUCUCGAGAGGUCCUUUGGUUAAUCCACGGCCUCCACUUUCUUCUCCGAAUACAGGAAUGGGGUCGUUGUGGGGAUGGCACCCUUUGAUCCCCAAAUAGGCUUUCUUAUCCCCUUGAAUGUCUCUCUUUUCUUUACUGCGAAAUGCAGAAAGGUAUGGUAGGGAGCCUCUCACUGCUUAUGGCUUGCUUUCUCUCUUUUUGAAUCACUUCCUUGUUUACAGGCGAAUCAAGCUGCUAUCAAAUUGUUUAAGCACCCGAAACUCUGACUUUCUUUCGGAUUGAAUUCUUUAUUAGUUGACUAUGGUAUAGGAGCAAUACUCGAUCAGAGGCUAGAUCCGGAGCUGGCUCCUCAGCGGGAAUGAAAUGGAAUAUAAAUGCACUGAUUCUACAAAGUCAUGUAGUAACAAAAACACAGCUUACUGAAUUUAUGGAAUUGGACCGAUUUGCUUCGAUCACUUCUCGACCGGGACUUCCUCCUAUAGAUAAGAUACCUGAGAGAUAGCCUAUAGAUAAGAAGAGAUGGAUCUAUGGGCAAGGAAGCUUAUUUCUACUUCCAGGCAAGGAAAGACGAAUCUAUUGUACUACCCCAAUGGAAGGGAAAGCUUACUGAGAUACCACCGAUACCCUAUGAAAGAGAGGGCAGAGGGGAGAAAUCAAGUGUUCCCUAAAGCCAGUUCUGUGUCUCCCUAAGUAGUGCUUUCCACUCAAAACUACGCGUACUUUCUUCUUUAUCUAAGCUAACUUUCUUCUUUAUAAUAAGUGAAGUGGAAUCUAUCUCUUUAAAAUAGAUCAUAUAUAUCGUUAAAAGGAGCCUUCCCACACCAACACCAGUGGGAUCAGUAGUUUUCUACCUUCUUUCUUAGGUCGGGGCAGAGUCAAUU
rnacentral:lncRNA from 1 species